GACGAUGAUGUUGAAGACAGCGAUGAAGAGGACAAAAAGACUGGACACAGAUCUCUUGGGAAGAAGAAGACAGCAGUUCGAAAAGAACAUAGUGAAGUUGAAUUGGAAACUAAAAAAAGGAAGAGACCCGGACUCCAAAGGAAAGAGCAGCAAUUGAUCGACACCUUUCAAAAUUUGUAGCAUUAAAGAAAGUUCCAAGGAAAGAUGACUGCGUUAAGUGUCGUAGUCAAGCAUCGCCAGACCUUGAAGACCGCACAUGGAGAGAUAUUCCACAAUGAAAUUAUUAAAAGAUAUGUAAUUGGGAAAAAAGCUUGAAGAUGAAAGAUAGAGGGAGAGACAUAGGGGGGAGAUAGAUGAAGGGAGAGAGGGAAUGGGAUGAGAGAGAGGGGAGAAAAGGAAUAGAGUUUGAAAGCACAGUUAUUUGGUAGGGUAUAUGUGGGUUCAUGUGUCAGGUUGUGGCGCAGCAAGUUUUUUUAGUGUGCGUUUUGAAGGUUGAAGUUUUUCAGGUGUUCUUGUAAGUUUUGAAUAAGAGUACUUUUGUUUGUCAAAAAUAAAUCAUAAAGUCAAGUCAGCUUUUAUUGUCAAAUAUGCUCUCUGUGUAAUGUACAGCACAGAUUAAAAUACUUUCCUCUCAGCCACAGUGCAAACAUGUGGCGUAUUGAACACACAAAUAUCAGAACUAAAUAAAACUAAAUAAAUGACAGUACCCUGUUAAUGGUGAUAAACUGUUUAAAAAUAAUAUAUCUGAUUAUAAAUUUACAUCAUUAAAUGUUUAGUAAGGUGAACAGCACCUAAUCUACUUCAAAAUCAUUAAGAACGCAUGGCCAGUGCCCGGUCCUCACUUAUCUAGUUAAAAACUUUUUCUUAACCUUUGGUGUUUUAUUUAAUCUAAAGGAAUGUAUUGCCUAAGGGCGCCCUCCUGUGUCUAGAAAUGUGUCUUUUUCAUUUCUUUUUCAAGCAGAAAGGGUGGUCCUCGCUUUGUAGGCCUUUUUACUCGGUCCUCACUGUGCAGCAAGUGCAGGAAUGUGUGUGUGUGUGUGUGUGUGUGUGUGUGUGUGUGUGUGUGUGUGUGUGUGCGUGCGUGCGUGCGUGCGUGCGUGUGUGUGUGUGUCAGACUUAACAGGUGGGCCGGGUUCUUGAAUGGCGGCCGGCCAGGGAGCCAAUGAGAGGCUGGAUGACGACACACCAGGCCGUCAUUGGCUCACGACUGUCAUGACAACAAGCGGCAUCUCUGGCAUGUGUUGUUCUUUGUGCCUCGCUACGCACCACAACACUUCAUAUGUGCGAUGCCAUCAUUUCCAGCCGUUUCAAGCGUCAAACUGAUGCAACGCUCGUGUUUACGACAAAGCCCCGAGCCGGCGCACCGCCGACACAGACAAACUUCUUCAGAGAGUUCCUGCUUCCGUAAACAGGAACAAAAACCAGACAGGCUGGCGUUUGCCCGUCAGACCAAAGCAGCAUCUGGAUGCUCUGGAGGGAUGCACCAAGUGCAUUUACCGCCUUGUUUGAUGAGUUACAUGGAGGAGGAGAGGAAUAAUUUGAAUGAUAUCCUUUUUUGUGUGUGUAAAUCUGGACUUGACAUUGCAUUUAUUAGAUACUAGCUGGUUCGCCGCCCUCCGGGCGGCUCAUCAGCUAGUUCCUGCGGAAGGCUGGUAAGGUGGUGGUUCGCCGCCCUCCGGGCGGCUCAUCAGCUAGUUCCUGCGGAAGGCUGGUAAGGUGGGCCUUCGGCCCACAAAAGUGUUGUUGCUUGGUUCAACUUUUUGUUCAUCUUCAUUGCUUAUCGCGAAAAUAAAGAGAUGUUUAGCUUUACUAAAUAACUAACAAUUUCAUUGCAAUGCUUGUGGGUAGACAACAUUUUUUCGCUAAGAUGCCCGCGCGAUCGUAGUGAGCCACUGCCUGAGCGGCGCAGUGGCGGCGCGGUGAAGUAGGUACGUUUUGAAAAGGGACAGACGGAAGGACAGACCGCAUGCGGGACGACGCGCAAUAUAUAUAUAGAUGAAGAUGAAAAUGCAGUGAAGCUAAUGGUUUAGACAUCUGUCUCCCACUCGAGAGAGCCAUGGAAUGGUUGAAUUUUAGUCCUCGCUAUAUGAAUAAAAAUGUAUUGGACUGUAUUAUGUGAAAUUCACGUGUUCCAGCCCGAGCCUCCUUGAAUUUUCUCCUGGUACUCCAGUUUCCCAUCACCCAGUGUUUCCCAAUCUUUAUUGGGCCAAGGCACAUAUUUCCCGUCGGAAAAUGUGUCACAGCACAGCACUUAGGAUAAAAGUGGAUACACGGGUUAAUUCUUUUCUGCCUGUUACUGCGAUAAAUUAAGAAAAAAAAAAUACCAUAUUUUCACGACCAUUCGGCGCACCGUAUUGUUGGGCACAUGCUCAGUAGCGGGUGCUAUUUCUGUAUUUGACACAUACACAAAACGCACUGUAUUAUUGGGCGCAGCCAGGCAUGGUAACACAUACGCCAGCUUAGACAUACGGCAUGCAUGCACGCAUGCCAGAAACACGUUAGCUUGAAGCAUACGGUAGCAGCUAAGACAUACGGACACACGCUAAAAACACUUUUUAAAAAGGCAACGGAAGCAAAACUGAGUUUGGUUGUACUUUAUUUAGCCAUUUUAAAAUGUACUCACGCGACUGGUAACUGCUAGUGUCGUGCCUUUAUCGUCCUCUUACACGCGCACCCUUCACUCAUUGGCGACUGGUAACUGCUAGGGACGUGACUUUAGCGUCCUCUUACACGCCCACCCUUGUCUCAAUGGCGGACUUCCGCAUGCCUGUCGUCACUCACGUCCGCCUUUUCUCUGUAUAAACAGCGUGUCGGCCAGAAGUGCUUUCAUUCAAGCUUUGGAACUCGGUGCAUACACUAGACACUCCGCAUUAUAAGGCGUCCUGUCCAUUUUUGAAAAAAUUUAAGACUUUUAAUGGUGCCUUAUAGUCGUGAAAAUACGGUAAACGAAAAUAAAUACC